GAUGGUAGCUCCAUCGUAUUCGGUUUACAGGAGCCGAUUACAAAUCACUUUGUGCUGCCUUGAUGGAAACCGAUAGGUAGUGAGCGACAAAUGAAAGUCAUCCCAAAAGAUGGAUAGG
rnacentral:ncRNA from 1 species